UACAGAGGGUGCGAGCGUUAAUCGGAAUUACUGGGCGUAAAGCGCGCGUAGGCGGCUUUGCGAGUCGGGUGUGAAAUCCCCAGGCUUAACCUGGGAACUGCAUUCGAGACUGCAUUGCUAGAGUAUGGGAGAGGGAAGUGGAAUUUCCGGUGUAGCGGUGAAAUGCGUAGAUAUCGGAAGGAACAUCAGUGGCGAAAGCGACUUCCUGGACCAAUACUGACGCUCAUGUGCGAAAGCGUGGGGAGCAAACAGG
rnacentral:rRNA from 1 species